GAUGAACGCUGGCGGCGUGCCUAAUACAUGCAAGUCGAGCGAACGGACGAGAAGCUUGCUUUUCUGAUGUUAGCGGCGGACGGGUGAGUAACACGUGGAUAACCUACCUAUAAGACUGGGAUAACUUCGGGAAACCGGAGCUAAUACCGGAUAAUAUUUUGAACCGCAUGGUUCAAAAGUGAAAGACGGUCUUGCUGUCACUUAUAGAUGGAUCCGCGCUGCAUUAGCUAGUUGGUAAGGUAACGGCUUACCAAGGCAACGAUGCAUAGCCGACCUGAGAGGGUGAUCGGCCACACUGGAACUGAGACACGGUCCAGACUCCUACGGGAGGCAGCAGUAGGGAAUCUUCCGCAAUGGGCGUAAGCCUGACGGAGCAACGCCGCGUGAGUGAUGAAGGUCUUCGGAUCGUAAAACUCUGUUAUUAGGGAAGAACAUAUGUGUAAGUAACUGUGCACAUCUUGACGGUACCUAAUCAGAAAGCCACGGCUAACUACGUG
rnacentral:rRNA from 1 species